AUUGAACGCUGGCGGCAUGCCUUACACAUGCAAGUCGAACGGCAGCACGGGUGCUUGCACCUGGUGGCGAGUGGCGAACGGGUGAGUAAUACAUCGGAACAUGUCCUGUAGUGGGGGAUAGCCCGGCGAAAGCCGGAUUAAUACCGCAUACGAUCUACGGAUGAAAGCGGGGGACCUUCGGGCCUCGCGCUAUAGGGUUGGCCGAUGGCUGAUUAGCUAGUUGGUGGGGUAAAGGCCUACCAAGGCGACGAUCAGUAGCUGGUCUGAGAGGACGACCAGCCACACUGGGACUGAGACACGGCCCAGACUCCUACGGGGGGCAGCAGUGGGGAAUUUUGGACAAUGGGCGAAAGCCUGAUCCAGCAAUGCCGCGUGUGUGAAGAAGGCCUUCGGGUUGUAAAGCACUUUUGUCCGGAAAGAAAUCCUUGGCUCUAAUACAGUCGGGGGAUGACGGUACCGGAAGAAUAAGCACCGGCUAACUACGUG
rnacentral:rRNA from 1 species